rnacentral:sRNA from 1 species
UAAUAAUCCGGAAAAUAGAGCAAAUAUUAAAUAUCAAGACCCAAUAUCCUUAGCGUUUGUAGAACCAAAUCAUCUUUCUAAUCACAUUGAGAUUUGAAUAUUUACACUUGAGAGAUGGGUAUGCGGAUCAGAAGGUUUGGAAUUAAACCUAUUAAUUUUUUUUUUGGGUUAAGCCCUCAUUUAAAAAAAUGACAAUUUAUAACAAUUGUAGACGUAGCCGAAGCUUAAAAAAAAACAAAGACUUAAAAGGGAAUCUAGUUAUAAAUUAAUAUGCUAUUAAUAAAGUUUAAAGUAGUUAAUACUACUUUAGUAGUAGUAAGCACAAGGACUUAAAAAAAAACCAAGUCUUUACCCUAUACUAAUAUAUUAUUUUAUACAUUUAUCAUAUUAAACAUAUAGCAUAAGGCUAUAGAGUAUAGGCAUAGUUGUGAGCUAAAGCUACUCGAACCAUAACAGCUCAACUAAGAACAAUCUAAUUAACUUUUCAACUGUGUUAAGAUAAGAUCAGUCUUCACCUAGCCUCACUUAUACUAGAUUCUUCUUUUAUGGAUACCAUUUAUAUCAAGUUAACCAAAGCUAGACUUAAUAUCGUUUAUACGUAUUUUUUAUCUAAAAUCCAAAACAUUCAUUAUAUCUAUAUAUAAUUAUGUAAUAUCUCAUAUUUUUUUUUUUAAGUUAUUUCUAUAUCAUUAUUUAUAACAAUACUAAUAAGUAUUUUGUAAGCUACGCCUAAAGGUUAUAAAUAGAUUUAUUAAAAAGGGAAUUUAAUUAUAAAUAAAUAUAUUAUUAAUAUGAAAAUUUAUAUAAAAUAUGUUUAAAUCGUAAGCACGAGGGCUUGAACCUUGAUAGUGAGGUUAAUCACCGUUUUAUCUUUAAACUAUGCUAAGAACUUAAUAUAUUAAUAUAUAAAGCCUAUAAUAAUAUAAGAUUACCUAAGUAGCCUAGUAA